AGUAUCUUUUUUGGGGGUUUGAGGUUCCCGGACGUUCAUUAACGCAAAAAGUGAAAAAAAAAAAAGAAUGAGUGUCGUACUUACAUCUCUUUAACAAGUACAAGGGGGACACAACUUUUAUAGUCAUACAUCUUCAUCACACUAUCAAGUUUCUAAACGUCUUUUAUAAAUAGUAUUACCAAUUACUUAUAUCUGAGUGCAUUGUAUGCAUGUAGCAGGUGUAAAAUCAGGUUAGUUUGAUCAGAUGCCUUAUCUGCAAGAGAGCCCUACAUUCAAGAAAUUUGAAUUAAAAUAUAGGUACGUUAGAUGCAAUCUUUUAGCACUUUAUUGCGUGUGGUUUAAGCAUUGCUCAAUACUUUUGUGGAUGGCAGUUUCCACUGGCACAGCACUGCGCUUUGCCACAGUCACAUGUGUCUUCAAAGUGGUGUUUAUCAGUUGUGUUGGUCUCUUUGUGUAGGCAUAGAGCAAGCUUUUGAUUUUUUUUUUUUUUUUGCAUUCAUGUGUUUGUACUAAGCUUAUAUAAGGCAGUUACAAAAUGUGUGUUGCUAUAACGAACUGUUUUGUUGAGCUCACACCUGCAAAUAAUAGUGCUCUGGUGGCCACACUUCUAUGUAGGUGCACCGCUAGCUUUGUGUAUGUUCUCAUGUUUGUAUAAAGCUUAUAUAAGCCAGUUACAAAAUGUAUGUCACUAAGCACUGUGAUAUUCUUUAAAGAACUGCUUGGUUGGGUUUACACUUGUGAAUCAGUACUGAGGCGGUAGUAUUUUCAUGUAGGCCCACUGCAAGCUUUCUGUGUGUUCACGUGUUUGUAUUUUGCUCUUACAAGGGAGUUGCAACAGGUACGUCACUAAGUUCUGUGAUAUUUUUUUAAGAACUGCUGUGUUGGUUUUACACCUGUGAGUAAUAGUACUCAGGUAGCACUAGUCAUGUGUAGGUACACAGGAACCAUUUGUGUUCAUUAUGCUCAUGUAAAGCAGUUACAAAACAUAUGCCACUAAUCACUGUGAUAUUUGUUGAAAAAUUGCAGUGAUGGUUUUACACCUGUGAAUAAUAGUGGUCAGGACACAGUACUUGUGAUGCAUAGUUGAAUUUAUACAGUGCCAAGACAUCUGCUGUAUACAUACCAAAAGAAAUGCAUGUCAUUAUAUUGUUGUGAUGAUUAUUACUGUUUGGAUUUUAUUAAAUUGUAGUAAAAUUGUUUCUUGUAUCAAUUGA
rnacentral:lncRNA from 1 species